rnacentral:tRNA from 1 species
GGGUCGGUAGCUCAGCGGUAGAGCACUCGGCUUUUAACCGAUCAGUCGUGGGUUCGAUUCCCACCCGACCCA